rnacentral:rRNA from 1 species
CCUACGGGGGGCAGCAGUGAGGAAUAUUGGUCAAUGGGCGGGAGCCUGAACCAGCCAAGCCGCGUGAGGGAAGAAGGUACAGCGUAUUGUAAACCUCUUUUGUCAGGGAACAAAGGCGGGGACUAGUCCCCGGAUGAGCGUACCUGACGAAAAAGUAUCGGCUAACUCCGUGCCAGCAGCCGCGGUAAUACGGAGGAUGCGAGCGUUAUCCGGAUUUAUUGGGUUUAAGGGGUGCGCAGGCGGCGUGUUAAGUUGGCGGGAAAACCCCGGGGCUCACCCCCGGAGGGCCUUUGAGACUGGUCGGCUGGAGUGGAGGAGAGGUAGGCGGAAUGCGUGGUGUAGCGGUGAAAUGCUUAGAGAUCACGCAGAACCCCGAUUGCGAAGGCAGCGUACCG